rnacentral:rRNA from 1 species
CCUACGGGAGGCAGCAGUAGGGAAUAUUGCUCAAUGGGGGAAACCCUGAAGCAGCAACGCCGCGUGGGGGAUGAAUGUUUUAGGAUUGUAAACUCCUUUUGUUAGAGAAGAUUAUGACGGUACCUGACGAAUAAGCACCGGCUAACUCCGUGCCAGCAGCCGCGGUAAUACGGCGGGUGCAAGCGUUACUCGGAAUCACUGGGUGUAAAGAGUGCGUAGGCGGGGUAAUAAGUCAGAUGUGAAAUCCUGUAGCUUAACUACAGAACUGCAUUUGAAACUGGUACUCUGGAGUGUGGGAGAGGUAGGUGGAAUGCGUGGUGUAGGGGUAAAAUGCGUAGAGAUCAAGAGGAAUACUCAUUGCGAAGGCGACCUGCUGGAACAUCACUGACGCUGAGGCACGAAAGCGUGGGGAGCAAACAGGAUUAGAUACCCUGGUAGUC